GACGAACGCUGGCGGCGUGCCUAAUACAUGCAAGUAGAACGCAGUUGCGAACGGGUGAGUAACGCGUAGGUAACUGCCUCAUCGCGGGGGAUAACUAUUGGAAACGAUAGUUAAUACCGCAUACUUUGAGAUGGACCUUCGUUGUUUUAGCUAGUUGGUGAGGUAAAGGGGCACCAAGGCGAAGAUACAUAGACGAACUGGGAGGGUGAUUGGCAACACUGGGACUGAGACACGGCCCAGAAGCCUACGGGAGGCAGCAGUAGGGAAUCUUCGGCAAUGGACGGAAGUCUGACCGAGCAAGGCCGCGUGAGUGAAGAAGGUUUUCGGAUCGUAAAGCUCUGUUGUUAGAGAAGCGGUAACUAAACAGAAAGGGACGGCUAACUACGUGACAGCAGCCGCGGUAAUAC
rnacentral:rRNA from 1 species